CCCCUCCCGAACACCAGCGGUCCGGCGCGGUGCGCGGUACCGGCGAGGAGGACGGGCAGCAGCAGCAGGAGCGCCAGCGGCCGCGCCAUGUCGCCACCUGAGCGGGGACAGCGGGGACAGCAGCGGGGACGGCAGGACGUGCUGUGUAGAUAUGUGGCAUUCCCAGGCCAAUUCCUCAGGGCCACACAACUGGCAUGAGAGCAGCACUACUCAGCCCAUCCGUCCCCUCUCUACUAAGGGCUGGAAAACAAAUCUCUGGCAAGAGAUGGGGAAACAAACGUGUGGAAAGGGCUGCUGACACGUGGCUUCAAAUCCUCUGGCAGAGCACAGCUCUCACCCAUCUCGGCCGCAUUCCCUGGGUCUCCCUCCUCCCCUCGCUCCUCCAGGUGAGGCAGGCUCCCUGCAGCCCCUCCCCAGUGCCAAAGUGCCUGUCUGCACAGCUUGCUCUGGGUCCUGCCCCUGUCUGAAAUGAGGGAGAGCCCUGCAGGGUCUCACUCUGCUUUUCUGGGGCUGAGAGGCAGCGCCUGAGGCUGAGCAGGCAGCCUGUGUUUGCUCUGUGCCUGCCAUGAGAGGCCUGGUGAGCGCUGGUGUCGCUGGCAGGGGCAGAACAAUUGGUUGUACUGAUGAAUCCUGGGCCUAUUGGGGGUCACAUAUUAACAAUAAACUG